UACAGGGGGUGCAAACGUUGCUCGGAAUCAUUGGGCGUAAAACGCACGUAGGCGGUCUGUUAUGUCGGAUGUGAAAGCCCUUGGCUCAACUGAGGAAGUGCAUCCGAAACUGGCAGGCUAGAGUACUAAAGAGGAUCGCGGAAUUCCCGGUGUAGAGGUGAAAUUCGUAGAUAUCGGGAGGAACACCGGUGGCGAAGGCGGCGAUCUGGGUAGAUACUGACGCUGAGGUGCGAAAGCGUGGGGAGCAAACAGG
rnacentral:rRNA from 1 species